rnacentral:lncRNA from 11 species
UUUUUAUUGAGAAGUUUCUUUUAAAACAUCAAACAUAAAACAUAACACGACAUACGGCAGGGGAACAGGGAAGGAAGGGCAGGGGUAGGGAAGGUGUGUCUGGAUUAGGAAUUGUGAGAGGGGAUAUACACUAGGAAUGGGGGGUGGGGUUUGACUUCCGAUCUUUGUCACUAAUCAUUUAUGUUCCAAUUAGAUAGUUCUUAUCAUCUUUUCUUAAGGUAGUCUUCAAAGUUUGACCAGUCUGUGGCUCUUAUAGCUCUUCCGUUGCUCUUUCUCAUUAAGAAGGUAUCGAAUUGUCUAUGUACACUACCACCCCUCUUUUCUUUACCACAUCUGCUGCAAUGAAUUCUUUCCC